rnacentral:rRNA from 1 species
CUACGGGUCGCUGCAGUUAGGAAUAAUCUACAAUGCGCGAAAGCGUGAUAGUUUGAGCCAGAGUGCUUUUCAAUUGAAAAGCUUUUGCCAAAUGUAAAAAGUUUGGCGAAUAAGGACUGGGUAAGACGAGUGCCAGCCGCCGCGGUAAUACUCGCGGUCCAAGUCGCAGCCAUUUUUAUUGGGUCUAAAACAUCCGUAGCUUGCUUAGUAAGUCCCUUGUGAAAUUUGGUAUCUUAAAUACACAAACGUGCAAGGGGUACUGCUGAGCUAGAGAUUGGGAGACGUAAGAAGUACGUUUAAAGUAGCGGUAAUAUGUGUUAAUCUUAAACGGACUCACAACAGCGAAGGCAUCUUACGAGAACAGUUCUGACAGUCAGGGAUGAAGGCUAGGGGCGCAAAACGGAUUAGAUACCCCUGUAGUC